rnacentral:lncRNA from 10 species
CAGCCGUGUAAGAUGUGCCUGCUUCCCCCUCGCCUUCUGGCAUGACUGUAAGUUUGCUGAAGCCUCCCAGCCAUGCAUCCUGUAAAGCCUGUGGAACUAAGAUGAAGCUGAAAAUUUACAAUUUCAAGAUAUUCUUAGAAGAUAUCUGGUCUACUUUUUUGAGCUGUUAACAUUUUUCUGAGAGUUAACUUUUCUUGGGAAGAAAUGAAGUGGAAAUAUGGUUGCUGCCUAAGAAGUAAUAAUAGGAGAUACAGGAAGCAGUUUGAAAUGGAAUAGAAACAACUUGUGAUAGAGGACAGAAGCCAUAUCAGAAGUCACGGAAUUAAUUAUGUGAGUCUGGGAUCAGUGAGAGAUGAAAAUUGAGAAGAAAGAAAACUGUAAGACUCUGUGACUUGAAAAAUCCAGGAGAGACAGGCAACUGAAUUGCUACAUUGUAUUUUCUCUUAAACCCAAGAAAAUUCCCUGUGUUAGAACAACUUGAAUGAAAAGAAGAAUAAACAGGUGUCCAACAAUAACAUUUCCAAGAUAGGAAGAAAGCGAGGGUUCAAAACGGAGGGACAUGGAUGAAGCUGGAAACCAUUGUUCUCAGCAA